rnacentral:rRNA from 1 species
UACGGGGGGGGCAAGCGUUGUUCGGAAUUACUGGGCGUAAGGGGCUCGUAGGCGGCCAACUAAGUCAGACGUGAAAUCCCUCGGCUUAACCGGGGAACUGCGUCUGAUACUGGAUGGCUUGAAUCCGGGAGAGGGAUGCGGAAUUCCAGGUGUAGCGGUGAAAUGCGUAGAUAUCUGGAGGAACACCGGUGGCGAAGGCGGCAUCCUGGACCGGCAUUGACGCUGAGGAGCGAAAGCCAGGGGAGCAAACGGG